UACAGAGGUCCCGAGCGUUGUUCGGAUUCACUGGGCGUAAAGGGUGCGUAGGUGGCGUGGUAAGUUUGAUGUGAAAGCUCAGGGCUUAACCCUGAAAUGGCAUUGAAUACUACCUAGGGCUGGAGGUUUGGAGGGGGACUGGAAUUCUUGGUGUAGCGGUGAAAUGCGCAGAUAUCAGGAGGAACACCGGUGGCGAAGGCGGGUCUCUGGGCCGUAACUGACGCUGGAGGAGCGAAAGCGUGGGGAGCGAACAGG
rnacentral:rRNA from 1 species